UACAGAGGGUGCAAGCGUUGUUCGGAAUUACUGGGCGUAAAGCGCGUGUAGGCUGCGGUGUAAGUCGGACGUGAAAGCCCUUGGCUUAACUGAGGAAGUGCAUCCGAAACUGGCAGGCUAGAGUACUAAAGAGGGUCGCGGAAUUCCCGGUGUAGAGGUGAAAUUCGUAGAUAUCGGGAGGAACACCGGUGGCGAAGGCGGCGACCUGGGUAGAUACUGACGCUGAGGUGCGAAAGCGUGGGGAGCAAACAGG
rnacentral:rRNA from 1 species